rnacentral:rRNA from 1 species
UGAAGAAUAUUGCACAAUGGGGGAAACCCUGAUGCAGCAACGCCGCGUGAAGGAUGAAGGUUUUCGGAUUGUAAACUUCUUUUGUCGAGGACGAAAAAAAUGACGGUACUCGACGAAUAAGCCACGGCUAACUACGUGCCAGCAGCCGCGGUAAUACGGGGGGUGCAAGCGUUGUCCGGAAUCAUUGGGCGUAAAGCGUUCGUAGGCGGUAUGUCAAGUCUGGUGUUAAAGCCCGAGGCUCAACCUCGGUUCGGCAUUGGAUACUGGCAAACUAGAAUGUGGUAGAGGUAAAGGGAAUUCCUGGUGUAGCGGUGAAAUGCGUAGAUAUCAGGAGCAACAUCGGUGGCGAAAGCGCUUUACUGGACCAUUAUUGACGCUGAGGAACGAAAGCCAGGGGAGCAAACA